GAGAGAUGCUACACAAGGUCGGAAGCCAGAAAAGUCCUGGAAGUGUCGGUCUUUUACAAACUUCGGUCGGGGGGUAUUUUAUACCCAACAGUCAUGUUCUAAUGAGAGAAGAAGAAAAGAAGGUCUUCUCUUAAGGUUUAUUUUAGAACCCUUCUUCUCUAUAAAUCAUGAGAUUUUUCUAUGAGAAAAAUCAGAUAUCAUAAGAUCUGG
rnacentral:lncRNA from 1 species